UACGUAGGGGGCAAGCGUUGUCCGGAAUCAUUGGGCGUAAAGAGCGUGUAGGCGGCCAGAUAAGUCCGCUGUGAAAUCUCGAGGCUCAACUUCGAGCUGUCGGUGGAAACUGUCUGGCUAGAGUCCGGAAGAGGAGAAUGGAACUCCUGGUGUAGCGGUGGAAUGCGCAGAUAUCAGGAAGAACACCUAUGGCGAAGGCAGCUCUCUGGGACGGUACUGACGCUGAGACGCGAAAGCGUGGGGAGCGAACAGG
rnacentral:rRNA from 1 species